GUUUGGGGUCUGGGGUUUGAACUCGGGGGCACUCAACCACUGAGCCACAUCCCCAGGCCUAUUUUGUAUUUUAUUAAGAGACAGGGUCUCACUGAGUUGCUUAGCACCUCACUAUUGCUGAGUCUGGCUUUGAACUAGCAAUCCUCCUGCCUCAGCCUCCCAAGCUGCCUGAGAUUACAGGUGUGCGCCACCAUGCCCAGCUCAUGUAUUAUUUUUAAUUGGAUUUAUACUCAAGAGAACAUACUAUCUUGAUCCCUUCUCUUAAAGAUGGUACUCUUAGACCCAUGGUGCUUUUCCUCGGAGUGGGGAACUGAAAACCACCCACUCCCCCACUCUGCUAUUCCCAGCUAUGACCGAGACAGGAAGUGCUGGGAGACAUGUCAUUUACAAAGGAACAUGUUUGUAAAGAAAUCACCAUCACCUUCAGCACUUCCUUUGGGUCCCUUUUCAGGAUCCUAUCCCUGCUGUGCUCAGAGAACACCCUCUCCCUCUAAAUCCAAGAGCAAAU
rnacentral:lncRNA from 1 species